rnacentral:rRNA from 1 species
GAUGAACGCUGGUGGCGUGCCUAACACAUGCAAGUCGAGCGAACAGACGAGGAGCUUGCUCCUUUGACGUUAGCGGCGAACGGGUGAGUAACACGUGGGUAACCUACCUAUAAGACUGGGAUAACUUCGGGAAACCGGAGCUAAUACCGGAUAAUAUUUCGAACCGCAUGGUUCGAUAGUGAAAGAUGGCUUUGCUAUCACUUAUAGAUGGACCUGCGCCGUAUUAGCUAGUUGGUAAGGUAACGGCUUACCAAGGCAACGAUACGUAGCCGACCUGAGAGGGUGAUCGGCCACACUGGAACUGAGACACGGUCCAGACUCCUACGGGAGGCAGCAGUAGGGAAUCUUCCGCAAUGGGCGAAAGCCUGACGGAGCAACGCCGCGUGAGUGAUGAAGGUCUUCGGAUCGUAAAACUCUGUUAUUACGGAAGAACAAACGUGUAAGUAACUGUGCACGUCUUGACGGUACCUAAUCAGAAAGCCACGGCUAACUACGUGCCAGCAGCCGCGGUAAUACGUAGGUGGCAAGCGUUAUCCGGAAUUAUUGGGCGUACAGCGCGCGUAGCGGUUUUUUAAGUCUGAUGUGAAAGCCCACGGCUCAUCCGUGGAGGGUCAUUGGAAACUGGAAAACUUGAGUGCAGAAGAGGAAAGUGGAAUUCCAUGUGUAGCGGUGAAAUGCGCAGAGAUAUGGAGGAACACCAGUGGCGAAGGCGACUUUCUGGUCUGUAACUGACGCUGAUGUGCGAAAGCGUGGGGAUCAAACAGGAUUAGAUACCCUGGUAGUCCACGCCGUAAACGAUGAGUGCUAAGUGUUAGGGGGUUUCCGCCCCUUAGUGCUGCAGCUAACGCACUAAGCACUCCGCCUGGGGAGUACGACCGCAAGGUUGAAACUCAAAGGAAUUGACGGGGACCCGCACAAGCGGUGGAGCAUGUGGUUUAAUUCGAAGCAACGCGAAGAACCUUACCAAAUCUUGACAUCCUUUGACCCUUCUAGAGAUAGAAGUUUCCCCUUCGGGGGACAAAGUGACAGGUGGUGCAUGGUUGUCGUCAACUCGUGUCGUGAGAUGUUGGGUUAAGUCCCGCAACGAGCGCAACCCUUAAGCUUAGUUGCCAUCAUUAAGUUGGGCACUCUAAGUUGACUGCCGGUGACAAACCGGAGGAAGGUGGGGAUGACGUCAAAUCAUCAUGCCCCUUAUGAUUUGGGCUACACACGUGCUACAAUGGACAAUACAAAGGGCAGCGAAACCGCGAGGUCAAGCAAAUCCCAUAAAGUUGUUCUCAGUUCGGAUUGUAGUCUGCAACUCGACUACAUGAAGCUGGAAUCGCUAGUAAUCGUAGAUCAGCAUGAUACGGUGAAUACGUUCCCGGGUCU